rnacentral:lncRNA from 1 species
GUGUUGACUAUAAGAGUUGCAUUGCUAAGUGACAUGUUGGUGUGGACUAUAAGAGUGUCAUUGCUAUGUCACAUGUUGGUGUUGAGGUAAAGAGUUUCAUUGCUAUGUCACAUGUUGGUGUUGAUUAUAAGAGUGUCAUUGCUAUGUCACAUGUUGGUGCUGUGUAUAUGAGUGUCAUUGUUAUGUCACAUGUUGGUGCUGAGUAUAAGAGUGUUAUUACUAUGUCACAUGUUGGUGUUGAGUAUAAGAGUGUCAUUGAUAUGUCACAUGUUGGUGUUGAGUAUACAAGUGUCAUU